GCAUCCGUAGCUCAGCUGGAUAGAGUACUCGGCUACGCACCGAGCGGUCGGAGGUUCGAAGCCUCCCGGAUGCACCA
rnacentral:tRNA from 1 species